rnacentral:rRNA from 1 species
AUUGAACGCUGGCGGCAGGCCUAACACAUGCAAGUCGGACGGUAGCACAGAGGAGCUUGCUCCUUGGGUGACGAGUGGCGGACGGGUGAGUAAUGUCUGGGGAUCUGCCCGAUAGAGGGGGAUAACCACUGGAAACGGUGGCUAAUACCGCAUAACGUCGCAAGACCAAAGAGGGGGACCUUCGGGCCUCUCACUAUCUGAUGAACCCAGAUGGGAUUAGCUAGUAGGCGGGGUAAUGGCCCACCUAGGCGACGAUCCCUAGCUGGUCUGAGAGGAUGACCAGCCACACUGGAACUGAGACACGGGCCAGACUCCUACGGGAGGCAGCAGUGGGGAAUAUUGCACAAUGGGCGCAAGCCUGAUGCAGCCAUGCCGCGUGUAUGAAGAAGGCCUUCGGGUUGUAAAGUACUUUCAGCGGGGAGGAAGGCGGUGAGGUUAAUAACCUUGCCGAUUGACGUUGCCCGCAGAAGAAGCACCGGCUAACUCCGUGCCAGCCGCCGCAGUAA